CUCCUCUCAGGAUCACAACUGGAGCGUUUCCAAUCCUCUACCAGUCUCAACUAAGGGAGGAAGAGUCAAGCAGAGGCAUACCCAUUCCAUUCCUAGCUUGGGCAGUGGCUAGUGAGUGGAAAGCAAACUGCAACAAGU